CAGCUGCAUUGACAUGGCUAUCAGCAAGGCCCCGAGCAGAAACAGAGUCUGCACACCAACAAGGAAGGAAGGAAGGAAAGAGGGAGCAGGCGAGCCAUGCAGAGGAUGGUGACCCAGAUGGAGCAGAUGGAGCCGAGGAAGUCGCAGUACUGCAGGGCGUCGUAGUCCAUGAUGCACAGGACGGCCGCGCCGGGCUGGUCGCAGGCGUGGUAGAACUACAGGGAGGGGAGGAGAAAGGAGCUGCAGGGUGAGGUACCACGUUGUGGACUGAGGGAAAGGCAGCCUGACCACGGCUUUAGGGACGCUGACGUUGAUCCCGAUGGCGUAUCCCAUAAACAAACCUGGAGAGAAUCAACAAGAUGACGUCCGUUAUCCCCAUAUGUCUGAAGCCACGAGUCCCACGGAGGGUUAGAGAGGGACACGGAGCAGUUGACCCCAGAGCAGUUCAGCUCCGUCUGGCUGUGCUGCAGCGACGCC